AUUGAACGCUGGCGGCAUGCCUUACACAUGCAAGUCGAACGGCAGCACCGGACUUCGGUCUGGUGGCGAGUGGCGAACGGGUGAGUAAUAUAUCGGAACGUGCCCUGGAGUGGGGGAUAACUAGUCGAAGACUAGCUAAUACCGCAUACGAUCUAUGGAUGAAAGUGGGGGAUCGCAAGACCUCAUGCUCGUGGAGCGGC
rnacentral:rRNA from 1 species